ACAACAACAUUCGGACCGUCGGUCUAUCGAGCGAAAUCACUUGCUCGGUGGAAGAUCUCCCCUUUGUCGUUUUUC
rnacentral:pre_miRNA from 1 species